CUCUAACUUGAGGUUUAAGGGAAAAAAAAACUUUAUUAACCUAAAACUACAAAGGAAAACACUAAGGAAAACACACAAAACACAUAGAACCCAAGAUGAAAACCUUCUAAAUUUCUUCCUCCUCCCCCCACCUAGAUUUCCAAUUCUAUUACCACCAAAUCUACCCUUUAGAUAAUCAGUUCUCAAUUCCUCGAGAAGAGAGAAGUCCCUCUUGCACCACAGACUUCCCCAGGAAACAGUCGAAACUUCUCGUGUUUCCAUGUCACGUGUGGCACCGCCCGGAGAACAUUUUGCCAUCGUGACUUCUUCCUUCCAUGUCCAGUGCUCUCACCACUGCACAUGGACCAGAGCUGCUUCUAGGGUUUUUCUCUUUAAGGAUACUUUGUCCAGUUCCAAAAAGAGCACAGUCCCUCUCCCUUUGGGACACCUGUCCCCCCCAAAUUUCACCCCCUGGGGCCGAGGGGUCUCUUGAACAGAGAUCAUCUUCCUCUUCCUCUUCCUUUCGAAGACGGAGGGCACCACCACCACCCUCCUCACCCGUCGUCUCUGUUCACACUCCUCCACAUCACUGCACUCUCCUGGCUCUGAGCCAUUGCCUCCCCCUAGAAUGCAGUAUCUGUGUCACAGGAACACAAGGGGUUCUGCUGUGGCUAUACAAGAAAAGUCCAGCCAAAGGCCACUCCAUCAUCUCCUCCCACCUAGGAUUCUUCUCAACAUCCUCUCAAUCUCAUCAACUUCAGGAGGAAUCAGCAUUUGCAAGGUUUCCAUCCUCCCCAGAAGGGUUAAAAGUCCCAGGCUCUGCCGGUUUACUUCAUGAACUCCCACGGCUGGCUGCCCUGCUGGGCACCCCCCCCUUCUCCUUCACGCCGGCCGCGCUAUCACAGGCGCCGGCUCUGUCUCUCUCCCUCUCUCCCGGGGGGGGGGGGAAUGGAGGAUGGCUGCCCGAAGCCCUUGCAAUGUUCUCCUCCACCCUUGGGCCCAGGCCUGGCCUACCUCUGGCUCCCCUCCCCCCCCCUGCCCAGCUCAGAGCUGGGCAGGGGGGUCUGCUCAGUCUCAAGCGGAACUCCAAAGAGGAUUCCCCUGGGAGAUCACAGCUUUUAACCCCUGUGUUCUCAGAGGCGUAUCCUGCCCUCAGUGGACAAACCAGGUGCCAAUAUUAAAUCUGAACACUGAUUGGCUUGCCCACACCAUCACAAAAAACUUCAUUUCCUUUCAAACCACGACAA
rnacentral:lncRNA from 1 species